GAUGAACGCUGGCGGCGUGCUUAACACAUGCAAGUCGAACGAUGAAGCCCAGCUUGCUGGGUGGAUUAGUGGCGAACGGGUGAGUAACACGUGAGUAACCUGCCCUUAACUCUGGGAUAAGCCUGGGAAACUGGGUCUAAUACCGGAUAGGAGCGCCUACCGCAUGGUGGGUGUUGGAAAGAUUUAUCGGUUUUGGAUGGACUCGCGGCCUAUCAGCUGGUUGGUGAGGUAAUGGCUCACCAAGGCGACGACGGGUAGCCGGCCUGAGAGGGUGACCGGCCCCACUGGGACUGAGACACGGCCCAGACUCCUACGGGAGGCAGCAGUGGGGAAUAUUGCACAAUGGGCGAAAGCCUGAUGCAGCGACGCCGCGUGAGGGAUGACGGCCUUCGGGUUGUAAACCUCUUUCAGUAGGGAAGAAGCGAAAGUGACGGUACCUGCAGAAGAAGCACCGGCUAACUACGUG
rnacentral:rRNA from 1 species